rnacentral:rRNA from 1 species
GAUGAACGCUGGCUACAGGCUUAACACAUGCAAGUCGAGGGGAAACGGCAUUUGGUGCUUGCACCGAAUGGACGUCGACCGGCGCACGGGUGAGUAACGCGUAUCCAACCUUCCCGUUACUGCGGGAUAACCUGCCGAAAGGCAGACUAAUACCGCAUGUUCUUCGAUGACGGCAUCAGAUUCGAAGCAAAGAUCCGUCGGUAACGGAGGGGGAUGCGUCUGAUUAGCUAGUUGGCGGGGCGACGGCCCACCAAGGCGACGAUCAGUAGGGGUUCUGAGAGGAAGGUCCCCCACAUUGGAACUGAGACACGGUCCAAACUCCUACGGGAGGCAGCAGUGAGGAAUAUUGGUCAAUGGGCGGAAGCCUGAACCAGCCAAGUAGCGUGCAGGAUGACGGCCCUACGGGUUGUAAACUGCUUUUAUGCGGGGAUAAAGUGAGGGACGCGUCCCUUUUUGCAGGUACC